UUCCUACGGGGGGCAGCAGUAGGGAAUAUUGGACAAUGGGCGAAAGCCUGAUCCAGCCAUGCCGCGUGAUAGAUGAAGGCCCUCUGGGUUGUAAAUAUCUUUUAUCUGGGAAGAAACACCUCUAUUCUUAGAGGCUUGACGGUACCAGAGGAAUAAGCACCGGCUAACUCUGUGCCAGCAGCCGCGGUAAUACGGAGGGUGCAAGCGUUAUCCGGAUUCACUGGGUUUAAAGGGUGCGUAGGCGGGCUGAGAAGUCAGUGGUGAAAGCCCCGAGCUUAACUUGGAAACUGCCAUUGAUACUGCCAGUCUUGAAUGUCGUAGAGGUAAGCGGAAUGUUGCAUGUAGCGGUGAAAUGCUUAGAUAUGUUACAGAACACCAAUGGCGAAGGCAGCUUACUAUGCGAUGAUUGACGCUGAGGCACGAAAGCGUGGGGAGCAAACAGGAUUAGAUACCCUUGUAGUC
rnacentral:rRNA from 1 species